UUCCGGUUGAUCCUGCCGGAGGUCACUGCUAUUGGGGUUCGGCUAAGCCAUGCGAGCGGAGGGCGCGGUCGCAAGAUCGUGGCCCCGCACACGGCUCAGUAACACGUAGUCAACCUACCCUUGGGACGGGGACAACGCCGGGAAACUGGCGAUAAUCCCCGAUAGGUGAGGGAUGCUGGGAUGCUUCUUCGCUCAAAGCUCCGGCGCCCGAGGAUGGGACUGCGGCCUAUCAGGCUGUUGGUGGUGUGACGGACCACCAAACCUACGACGGGUACGGGCGAUGGGAGUCGGAGCCUGGAGAUGGGGACUGAGACAAGGCCCCAGGCCCUACGGGGCGCAGCAGGCGCGAAAACUCCGCAAUGCGCGCAAGCGUGACGGGGGAACCCCAAGUGCCGUCGGUCUUUUGAUCGACGGCUUUUCGGAAGUCCAAUAAGCUUCCGGAAUAAGGGCUGGGCAAGACUGGUGCCAGCCGCCGCGGUAACACCAGCAGCCCAAGUGGUGGCCGCGAUUAUUGGGCCUAAAGCGCUCGUAGCCGGAUCAGCAAGUCCUUUGUGAAAUCGGACCGCCCAACGGUUCGGCGUGCAAAGGAUACUGUUGGUCUUGAGACCGGGAGAGGUCGGAGGUACUCUUGGGGUAGCGGUGAAAUGCUGUAAUCCUGGGGGGACCACCAGUGGCGAAGGCGUCCGACCAGAACGGAUCUGACGGUGAGGGGCGAAGGCUAGGGGAGCGAACGGGAUUAGAUACCCCGGUAGUCCUAGCUGUAAAGCAUGCGGGCCAGGUGUCUAGCGCUCCUUGAGGGCGCUAUGUGCCGGAGGGAAGCCGUUAAGCCCGCCGCCUGGGAGGUACGGCCGCAAGGCUGAACUUAAAGAAAUUGGCGGGGGAGCACCACAAGGGGGGAACCUGCG
rnacentral:rRNA from 1 species